GAUCAUGGCUCAGGAUGAACGCUAGCUACAGGCUUAACACAUGCAAGUCGAGGGGAAACGACAUCGAAAGCUUGCUUUUGAUGGGCGUCGACCGGCGCACGGGUGAGUAACGCGUAUCCAACCUGCCCUUUACUCGGGGAUAGCCUUCUGAAAGGAAGUUUAAUACCCGAUGAAUUCGUUUAGUCGCAUGGCUUGAUGAAGAAAGAUUUAUCAGUAAAGGAUGGGGAUGCGUCCCAUUAGCUUG
rnacentral:rRNA from 1 species